rnacentral:rRNA from 1 species
CAUCACAUCCUGGGGCUGUAGUAGGUCCCAAGGGUUGGGCUGUUCGCCCAUUAAAGUGGUACGCGAGCUGGGUGCAGAACGUCGUGGGACAGUUCGGUCCCUAUCCGGCGCAGGCGUAGGAAAGUUGAGAAGACCUGGCCUUAGUACGAGAGGACCGGGAUGGACGUACCUAUGGUGUACCAGUUGUCCUGCCAAGGGCAUGGCUGGGU